GAAUAGGCAAACCUGCUGAAAGGCAGGGACGCAAAGCCAGGUGUCUAAUCGAUAAUCGUAUGACCGACCAGUUGC
rnacentral:ncRNA from 1 species